GGUUCAGGAUGAACGCUAGCGACAGGCUUAACACAUGCAAGUCGAGGGGCAGCACGGGAGUAGCAAUACAACUGGUGGCGACCGGCGCACGGGUGAGUAACGCGUAUGCAACCUACCUAUCAGAGGGGAAUAACCCGGCGAAAGUCGGACUAAUACCGCAUAAAACAGGGGCACCGCAUGGUGAUAUUUGUUAAAGAAAUUCGCUGAUAGAUGGGCAUGCGUUCCAUUAGGUAGUUGGUGAGGUAACGGCUCACCAAGCCGACGAUGGAUAGGGGAACUGAGAGGUUGGUCCCCCACACUGGUACUGAGACACGGACCAGACUCCUACGGGAGGCAGCAGUGAGGAAUAUUGGUCAAUGGGCGAGAGCCUGAACCAGCCAAGUCGCGUGAAAGGAAGAAGGAUCUAUGGUUCGUAAACUUCUUUUGCAGGGGAAUAAAGUGCAGGACGUGUCCUGUUUUGUAUGUACCCUGAGAAUAAGGAUCGGCUAACUCCGUGCCAGCCGCUGC
rnacentral:rRNA from 1 species